GCGGCGGAGCGCGAUGGUCGCGGGCCCUUCGGGGCCUGAGGAAAGUCCGAGCUCCACAGGGCAGACUGCCAGGUAACGCCUGGGCGCCGGAAGGCGACGGACAGGGCCACAGAAAACACACCGCCACGCGGCAACGCGCGGUAAGGGUGAAAAGGUGGGGUAAGAGCCCACCGCGCUCACGGUAACGGCGAGCGGCACGGCAACCCCCAGUCGGAGCAAGGCCAAAUAAGCGGCGAGGUCCGGCCCGGACCAUUUGAGCCGCGGGUAGGCCGCGUGAGGUGGCGGGCGACCGUCAUCCCAGAGAGAUGACCAUCCGGCCUUCGGGCCGAACAGAACUCGGCUUACGGCUUCGCCACCAGC
rnacentral:RNase_P_RNA from 2 species